UACGGAGGGUGCAAGCGUUAUCCGGAUUCACUGGGUUUAAAGGGUGCGUAGGUGGGUUGGUAAGUCAGUGGUGAAAUCUCCGAGCUUAACUUGGAAACUGCCAUUGAUACUAUCAGUCUUGAAUAUUGUGGAGGUCAGCGGAAUAUGUCAUGUAGCGGUGAAAUGCUUAGAUAUGACAUAGAACACCAAUUGCGAAGGCAGCUGGCUACACAGUAAUUGACACUGAGGCACGAAAGCGUGGGGAUCAAACAGG
rnacentral:rRNA from 1 species